GUUGUCAGUGAUGUUUUACCACAAUUAUUCGAGUUUGAAUGACCAUGAGAUUACCUUACAUGCACUACCAUCUGAGACAUC